rnacentral:sRNA from 1 species
ACUUACGACCGGUUCACCACUUUUUGAAUCGCGGCUGACGGAAAUCCGGUGCGUGGUGCCGUUCACGCGCACUUCGGCC